ACAAGCGGUGGAGCAUGUGGUUAAUUCGAUGCAACGCGAAGAACCUUACCUGGUCUUGACAUCCCGGAGACCCUUAGGAAACUAGGGGUGCUUCCAUCUGGAAGAAUCUGGAGACAGGUGCUGCAUGGCUGUUGUCAGCUCGUGUCGUGAGAUGUUGGGUUAAGUCCCGCAACGAGCGCAACCCUUGCCUUUAGUUGCCAGCAGUUCGGCUGGGCACUCUAAAGGGACUGCCGGUGUUAAACCGGAGGAAGGUGGGGAUGACGUCAAGUCCUCAUGGCCUUUAUGACCAGGGCUACACACGUACUACAAUGGCCGAUACAAAGGGCAGCGACACUGCGAGGUGAAGCCAAUCCCGUAAAAUCGGUCUCAGUCCGGAUUGGAGUCUGCAACUCGACUCCAUGAAGUUGGAAUCGCUAGUAAUCGUGAAUCAGAAUGUCACGGUGAAUACGUUCCCGGGCCUC
rnacentral:rRNA from 1 species